rnacentral:rRNA from 1 species
ACGUAGGGAGCGAGCGUUGUCCGGAAUCAUUGGGCGUAAAGAGCUCGUAGGCGGCUUGGUAAGUCGGAUGUGAAACCUCCAGGCUCAACCUGGAGUCGCCAUCCGAUACUGCCAUAGCUAGAGUCCGGUAGGGGCCCACGGAACUCCUGGUGUAGCGGUGAAAUGCGCAGAUAUCAGGAAGAACACCGGUGGCGAAGGCGGUGGGCUGGGCCGGCACUGACGCUGAGGAGCGAAAGCGUGGGGAGCGAACAGGAUUAGAUACCCUGGUAGUCCACGCCGUAAACGUUGGGCACUAGGUGUGGGACCUUAUCAACGGGUUCCGUGCCGUAGCUAACGCAUUAAGUGCCCCGCCUGGGGAGUACGGCCGCAAGGCUA